ACGGAGUUUCUUUGUCUGAAUGUUUACUUUGAGAAAAUUAGAGUGCUCAAAGCAGGCUUUCGCCUUGAAUAGUUUAGCAUGGAAUAAUAAAGUAGGACUUUGGUUCUAUUUUGUUGGUUUUAGGUACCAAAGUAAUGGUUAAUAGGAACAGUUGGGGGCAUUCGUAUUUAACUGUCAGAGGUGAAAUUCUUAG
rnacentral:rRNA from 1 species